rnacentral:rRNA from 2 species
UCCUGGCUCAGGACGAACGCUGGCGGCGUGCCUAAUACAUGCAAGUCGAGCGGAUCUUCAUUAGCUUGCUUUUGAAGAUCAGCGGCGGACGGGUGAGUAACACGUGGGCAACCUGCCUGUAAGACUGGGAUAACUUCGGGAAACCGGAGCUAAUACCGGAUAAUCCUUUCCCUCACAUGAGGGAAAGCUGAAAGACGGUUUCGGCUGUCACUUACAGAUGGGCCCGCGGCGCAUUAGCUAGUUGGUGAGGUAACGGCUCACCAAGGCAACGAUGCGUAGCCGACCUGAGAGGGUGAUCGGCCACACUGGGACUGAGACACGGCCCAGACUCCUACGGGAGGCAGCAGUAGGGAAUCUUCCGCAAUGGACGAAAGUCUGACGGAGCAACGCCGCGUGAACGAUGAAGGCUUUCGGGUCGUAAAGUUCUGUUGUCAGGGAAGAACAAGUACCGGAGUAACUGCCGGUACCUUGACGG